rnacentral:rRNA from 1 species
UACGUAGGCAGCGAGCGUUGUUCGGAAUUACUGGGCGUAAAGAGUGUGUAGGCGGUGUUCCCAGUCUGUUGUGAAAUCUCCCGGCUUAACUGGGAGGGUGCAGCGGAAACUAGAAUGCUAGAGGGUGGGAGAGGUAAGCGGAAUUCCUGGUGUAGCGGUGAAAUGCGUAGAUAUCAGGAGGAACACCGAUGGCGAAGGAAGGUCUCUGGGCCACUACUGACGCUGAGAAGCGAAAGCAUGGGGAGCGAACAGG